rnacentral:rRNA from 1 species
UGCAAGUCGAACGGUAACAGGGAGCAGCUUGCUGCUCUGCUGACGAGUGGCGGACGGGUGAGUAAUGUCUGGGAAACUGCCUGAUGGAGGGGGAUAACUACUGGAAACGGUAGCUAAUACCGCAUAACGUCUUCGGACCAAAGUGGGGGACCUUCGGGCCUCAUGCCAUCAGAUGUGCCCAGAUGGGAUUAGCUAGUAGGUGGGGUAACGGCUCACCUAGGCGACGAUCCCUAGCUGGUCUGAGAGGAUGACCAGCCACACUGGAACUGAGACACGGUCCAGACUCCUACGGGAGGCAGCAGUGGGGAAUAUUGCACAAUGGGCGCAAGCCUGAUGCAGCCAUGCCGCGUGUAUGAAGAAGGCCUUCGGGUUGUAAAGUACUUUCAGCGGGGAGGAAGGCGUUGUGGUUAAUAACCACAGCGAUUGACGUUACCCGCAGAAGAAGCACCGGCUAACUCCGUGCCAGCAGCCGCGGUAAUACGGAGGGUGCAAGCGUUAAUCGGAAUUACUGGGCGUAAAGCGCACGCAGGCGGUCUGUUAAGUCAGAUGUGAAAUCCCCGGGCUCAACCUGGGAACUGCAUUUGAAACUGGCAGGCUUGAGUCUCGUAGAGGGGGGUAGAAUUCCAGGU